rnacentral:rRNA from 1 species
GACGAACGCUGGCGGCGUGCUUAACACAUGCAAGUCGAACGGACAGGCCCUGCUUUUGUGGGUUGCUCGAUUGGCGAACGGGUGAGUAACACGUGUGUAACCUGUCCUUGUCUUUGUGAUAACUUCAGGAAACUGGGGCUAAUACCGGAUAGGAUCUCCUGCAGCAUGUGGUGGGAUGGAAAGUUUCGGCGGUUGUGUAUGGUCUCGCUGCUUAUCAGCUUGUUGGUGGGGUAGUGGGUUACCAAGGCUUUGACGGGUAGGCGGCCUGAGAGGGUGACCGGCCACAUUGGGCCUGAGAUAGGGCCCAGAAUGCUACGUGCGGCAGCAGUGGGGAAUAUUGCGCAAUAGGCCGAAGCCAGAUGUAGCAACGCCGCGUGCGGGAUGACGGGCUUCGGGUUGUAAACCAAUUUGGCCUGUGACGAGGCGUGAGUGACGGUAAUGGGUAAAGAAGCACCGGCUAACUACGUG